rnacentral:rRNA from 1 species
AUGUAGGGAUGGCAUCAUCUCUUCAUUAAAGUUUCGGCGGUAAAAGAUGAGUAUGCGUUCUAUUAGCUAGAUGGUAAGGUAACGGCUUACCAUGGCCACGAUAGAUAGGGGUCCUGAGAGGGAGAUCCCCCACACUGGCACUGAGACACGGACCAGACUCCUACGGGAGGCAGCAGUGAGGAAUAUUGGACAAUGGGCGAGAGCCUGAUCCAGCCAUGCCGCGUGCAGGAAGACUGCCCUAUGGGUUGUAAACUGCUUUUAUACGGGAAGAAACACCCCCACGUGUGGGGGCUUGACGGUACCGUAUGAAUAAGGAUCGGCUAACUCCGUGCCAGCAGCCGCGGUAAUACGGAGGAUCCAAGCGUUAUCCGGAAUCAUUGGGUUUAAAGGGUCCGUAGGCGGGUACGUAAGUCAGUGGUGAAAGUCUGCAGCUCAACUGUAGAACUGCCAUUGAUACUGCAUACCUUGAGUAAUUAUGAAGUGGUUAGAAUAUGUAGUGUAGCGGUGAAAUGCAUAGAUAUUACAUAG